rnacentral:rRNA from 1 species
AUGAUCGCUGGGACCUCGUUGCGCGGCCAGUUCGAGCAGCGCUUGAAGGAGGCUAUCAAGCAGGCCGAGGAUGAAAGCAGUAAACUGAUCCUCUUCAUCGACGAGAUGCACAUGCUUAUUGGCGCAGGCGAUGGAAGUGGCACCGCCGACGCCGCUAACAUCCUCAAGCCGGCGUUGGCCCGAGGCCGCCUCCGUUGCGUCGGUGCUACCACCUCUCAGGAGUAUUACAAGUACAUUGAGCAGGAUGCUGCGCUUGAGCGGCGGUUCCAGAAGGUCGAAGUCGGAGAGCCGAGCAUGCAAACCACCGUUGCCAUCCUGCAGGGGCUGAAGCACAAGUACCAAGAGCACCAUGGCUUGAAAAUCGACGACGAGGCUCUUGUUGCUGCUGUAGAGCUCGCUGCCCGUUAUAUUACUGGUCGCAAAUUCCCUGAUAAAGCAAUUGAUCUCAUGGACGAGGCAUGCACUACGGUAAAGUUGCGUGCCAGCAAACAAAGAGAAACAAACGCGCCUGGGGAGGUACUGGUUGGUCAAGGCCAUGUCACAGAGGUCAUUCCUAAUCACAUGUCUUACAUUGUGAGCCGGUGGACUGGAAUUCCUAUCACUACACUUGAUCAAGAGGAGGAAAAACUGACUCAUCUAAUAGAUAGGCUCCAUGAGCGAGUUGUUGGUCAGAAUGAAACGGUUAGUUUGGUUGCACAAGCAGUGCUACGUUCUAGGGUUGGCAUUGAUAAAUCUGGUCAACCAAUAUGUUCUUUCCUCUUUUUGGGCUCGAUUGGUGUUGGAAAGACGGAACUUGCUAAAGCUCUUGCCGAGAAGCUAUUUAACAAUGAGAAAAUGUUAGUUUGUUUUGACAUGUCUGAAUAUGCUGAGAGUGGAUCUUUGUUGCGUCUCAUUGGAGGACCUCGAAGGUUUGACUUGUACACUUGUUUAAUCAGGCGCCGGCCAUAUAGUGUUAUCCUUUUUAACGAGAUGGAUAAGGCAAACCCUUCGAUACUCAAGCUUUUUGUUCAACUCCUCAAUGAUGGUAUGUUGGUUGAUGGCAAAGGAAGAGACGUAGAUUUCAAGAAUACAAUCAUUAUUAUGAGUUCAAAUCUAGGAUCAGAGCACCUAUCUGCUGAAGUGGGAGGAGAAAACACAAUGGAAAGUGCACGUGAUUUUCUCAUGAAACAGGUUGAGAAACGUUUCAAGCCUGAUCUUAUGAACAGAUUGAGCGAGAUUGUGAUAUUUGAGCCGCUUUCACACCAUGAACUGAGGGAAAUUUUGAAAAUCCAAAUGAAGAGCAUUGUCGCUAUGAUGGCCAAGAAGCGUAUUUCUCUAUCUGUGGCAGAUGCCGCGUUGGAAGUCAUUUUGUCGGAAUCACACGACAAGGUGAACGGUGCGAGGCCUAUAAAGAUGUGGGUACGAAAGCAUGUGGCGACAAUUCUUUCAAAUAUGUUGGUCAAUGGAGAAGCAUGUAAAGGCUCAACGAUUUCCAUAGAUGCUAGUGACGAUAAGAGGGGGUUGAAGUACCGAGUAUUGAAGAAGCAGGAGAUGGCAGAUCCAUUAGGCCUGCUACAAGUUAUGCUGUAA